CUUGUUUGUUUCCGGCGUAUUGCUGUGCACUACUUAGUACACGCGUAUCGGUUUGCACUCCAGAUGUAGCAAUUGAAAACGAAGAUAUUCCUGGAAAGUUUGCAACCGCGUGGGUGCUAGGCAGUGCACAGCGAUAUGCUGGGUAUGGACAGC
rfam:Physcomitrella patens subsp. patens PHYPAscaffold_51 genomic scaffold, whole genome shotgun sequence.